GGGGAUGCAUGGUUUCGACGUGAAGAUCGCACUUUUAUAAAUCGCUAGAGCGGACCUAUCCGUUAAAUGGAAAAGUAACUGCAAACCUCAAAAAGGAAUUUGCAUCACUUAAAAGAGCGGUUGUAGAAGCUUAUGAAGCCCAACAGGCCAAAUUUGCUUUUGCAAACAUGAACUUUGCUUUCGCAGCGUAAGUUCAAUAUCCUUUUAGUGAUCUUAGUCGGCUUCAUCGGUGAGCUGACUAACGAAAAACAAUGCCGAAGUAGGUAAGGUAAAGUUUUCGAUCUUUACUUCACUGAAAUAAAUAAAAUCGGCAGCUUGGACAAUGGUUUAUAUAUUAUCCAGUUUGAGCUUGAGUUUAAAAAUAUAAUAUCUCUAGCUAAAGAUUUAUAAGGGAGCCUUUGCGGACCCGGGUUCAACUCCCGGCAUCUCCACCG
rnacentral:tmRNA from 3 species